rnacentral:rRNA from 1 species
ACGAACGCUGGCGGCGUGCUUAACACAUGCAAGUCACGGGGGCCCGCAAGGGCAACCGGCGAACGGGUGCGUAACACGUGAGCAAUCUGCCGAUCUCUGGGGAAUAGCCGGCCCAACGGCCGGGUAAUACCGCAUACGAUCAUCGGGGGGAGUCCCCUGGUGAUGAAACCUCCGGGGGAGAUCGAGGAGCUCGCGACCUAUCAGCUAGUUGGCGGGGUAACGGCCCACCAAGGCGACGACGGGUAGCUGGUCUGAGAGGAUGGCCAGCCACAUUGGGACUGCGACACGGCCCAGACUCCUACGGGAGGCAGCAGUGGGGAAUAUUGCGCAAUGGACGAAAGUCUGACGCAGCGACGCCGCGUGUGGGAUGAAGCCUUUCGGGGUGUAAACCACUGUUGCCCGGGACGAAACUCCUUUUUCGAGAGGAUUGACGGUACCGGGUGAGGAAGCACCGGCUAACUCUGU